rnacentral:rRNA from 1 species
AUGGUGCCGGACUACGUGCUCGCGGGCGUCCUCCGCCUCCUCGCACCACGCGGCCUUGCCGCUUCCCGCUGCGUCUGCAAGGCAUGGCGCCGCGUCAUCGACGACCGCAGACUGCUGCGGUCGGACCUCCUCCCGCGCUCGCUUGGUGGCAUCUUCCUCAACUACCUGGACCUAUGGUUCACGCAGUUGCUCUCCCGCCCCACGACGGGCACCGCAAUCUCUGGCCGGCUGGACUACACGGUGCCCGGCGAGCCUGACCUCAUGCCCCCCAUCCACGUCCGAGAUCACUGCAAUGGCCUUCUCUUGCUCCACCACUGCGUGGUCAACCCUGCCACACAGCAGUGGGCGCCCCUGCCACCUGCCCCGGACCUGCCACAACCCCCACCUCCGGGCAUGAUCUCCUUUGCGCGCGAGCACCUCGUGUUUGACCCCACUCUGUCGCCCAACUAUUUUGAAGUGCUCAUAGUGCCCGAUGUCCCUUCCAAGAACAACGACGACUGUGAGGAGGAAGCUGAAUGGCCGCCAUCCACAUUGAUCCUACAAUAUCACUGUCAAACAGGGUUCCAUCUUCAGGUUUGGUUCCUAAACGACCCAUGUCUUCAUGGUCAGACAGAGUGGGUGUUGAAGCAUGACAGAGAUAUCUUCUCCAUCCUUCCAAAUCUGAACUACGACAAACAACGUGACGGACCUUGGAUCUUACAAGAAUUUCGCUAUUGGGCAAAUAAAGAUGCUGCUGAUGAUUCUCCCAUUGUGUACAACAGCGAAGCAACAGUGGAACAGAAAUUUGUGUGGGAUUGUGACAAUGAUAAUGUUCUCAAACCUGGUGGUAGGAUCAACGAUUGUUGUAUCAUUUUCCUUGGAUUUCAUCCUUACAAAGAGGUUGUCUUCUUGAGUGAUAAAUUCGACAGAGUGCUUGCCUAUAACUGGAGUAGCUCAAAGCUUCAAGAUUUGGGCAAGGUUUUCUCGAAAUUCUAUACUGACCCAGAAUCCGAUUUCUACCAUCGAUAUGUACAAGAGUCUUUCCCAUACACCCCCUGCUGGUUGGGAGAACUCCCUGAAAAAGUAAAUUUAGAAGCUCACUAG